ensembl:lncRNA LINC02660 long intergenic non-protein coding RNA 2660
AAGCUACAGCAAGUCGUUACUUGUCCUGAAUGCACGACCUUCUUUCUUUGAGCAAGAGGACAAACCUGGAGCAUUAGGAAGACAAGCAGGGCCUUCAGUAGGCAUAAGGUGAUGAGGUUCAUGCCGUUGGAUCCCACGGGUGCCCUGGGGAAGAGAUGGUUGGGAAGUCUGAGAGGAAGCAGGAGAGCUUUCGGAGCACAUGGAUGCCGUCCAGAAUGGAGAUGGUUGUGGCUCGGAAGAAAAAGAAAUCACCCAGCUCGGAGUCAGGAUACAUUUGGAGGUCCAGGCCGCCGAGUUUGCUGGUGGGGAAGAUAGGCACCAGAAAGGAAAGAGGACAUCCAGGGCAAUUUCUUCUGCCCCCCAGCCAAUCCGUACAUUGUCCAGAGGCCAAGCCUACUGCUGUUAGAAAACAUAUUUAGAAAUCACUUGGUUCUUCCUUGCCUGAACAUCAUCUAUUUAGUUAGCUUGUGUUGUUUAGAUGUGCUUCAGAUCUCAAAAAAAUAAAUUAUGUUAUUUGAAA